UACGAAGGGGGCUAGCGUUGCUCGGAAUCACUGGGCGUAAAGGGUGCGUAGGCGGGUCUUUAAGUCAGGGGUGAAAUCCUGGAGCUCAACUCCAGAACUGCCUUUGAUACUGAAGAUCUUGAGUUCGGGAGAGGUGAGUGGAACUGCGAGUGUAGAGGUGAAAUUCGUAGAUAUUCGGCGGAACACCAGUGGCGAAGGCGGCUCACUGGCUCGUAACUGACGCUCAUGCACGACAGCGUGGGGAUCAAACAGG
rnacentral:rRNA from 1 species